UACGUAGGGUCCAAGCGUUAUCCGGAAUCACUGGGCGUAAAGCGUGCGUAGGUGGCGCGUUAAGUGAGAUGUUAAAUCGUGGGGCUCAACCCUGUCGGUGCAUCUCAUACUGGCGUGCUAGAGGACAGCAGAGGCAAGUGGAAUUUGUAGUGUAGCAGUGAAAUGCGUAGGUAUUACAAGGAACACCAAUGGCGAAGGCAGCUUGCUGGGCUACUCCUGACACUGAGGUACGAAAGCGUGGGGAGCGAACAGG
rnacentral:rRNA from 1 species